rnacentral:rRNA from 1 species
GGUUGAUCCUGCCGGAGAUCACCGUUAUCAGAAUUCGACUAAGCCAUGCGAGGCGCGAGCUAUUUGGGCUCGCCGAACUGCUCAGUAACACGUAGCUAACAUGCCCUCAAGUGGAGGAUAAUCUUGGAAAUCUGAGGCUAAUACUCCAUAACCGUUAAAUGCUGGAAUGCUUUAACAGUGAAAGCUCCGGCGCUUGAGGAUUGGGCUGCGGCCUAUCAUGGCUGUUGUGAGUGUAAAGUACUCACAAACCUGUAACGGGUAGGGGUCAUGAGAGUGGGAGCCUCGAGAUGCCUUCUGAGACAUGAAGGCAGGUCCUACGGGACGCAGCAGGCGCGAAAACUUUCCAAUGGCUUAACGGCCGAGAAGGGAAUCCUGAGUGGUUAUGCUAUGCAUAACCUUUUGUUUUGCCUAAAAAGCAAGAAGAAUAAGUAGUGGGUAAGACGGGUGGCAGCCGCCGCGGUAAUACCCGCGCUACUAAUGGUGAUCACGAUUAUUGGGUCUAAAGGGUCCGUAGCCGGUCCAAAAAGUUCUUGGUGAAAUCUGCUAGCAAACUAGCAGGCGUGCUGAGAAUACUGUUGGACUUGGGAUCGGGAUAGGAUAGGGGUAUUCUUUGGGUAGGGGUUAAAUCCUUUAAUCCAUGGAAGACCUCCGGUGGCGAAGGCGCCUAUCUGGAACGAGUCCGACGGUGAGGGACGAAAGCGUGGGGAGCAAA